AAUAUGGAAAAACAAAAAGAAAGUGUUAAUAUUAUAGUAUAUCCAACUAUAAUCUACAUAUUUAUUUUAGAUUAGUGAUAUUUGGUACAACUUUUGUGACAACUUCUUUUUUCUCUCUUUUCAUUGGUUAAAAACAAUGGAGAGAAAAAAUUGUGACAUACUGAUUGUACAAAUAUCAUUUCUCUUUGUUUUAUACUCCCUUUGUUUCACAAUGAAUGUUUGAAGGCUUGAAGUUUCAUUUACCUAUUAAACGCACACUGCAAUGUUGAAACACUGUUUGAAAGGUAUGAUAUCUUUACGCAUCUUGCUUACUUCCAACGUGUAAUUUUAAUUCGAUCUGAGUUGAUAUUCUUUUUGAUUUUAUAUGAGUUAAUUUUUUGUAAUUUAUUUUUGUAGUAGGAUUUGAUCCGCACACAUUUUCCAACAUAGACAAAUAUGUUAACACCAUGAAUAUUAGUAGCAAAUGAAGAGUUUUUUGGACACACAUGAUUUAACAAAUCAUGUAAUUUAAACAGAUGUCUUGGUAUGACAAUAUAAGUUGUUAAUUUAUUGUUUUUAGUGUUUGUAUGUUUUUAACAAGUAAUUGAGAAUGAGAGUACACUUGAACGCGAAGGCUGAGAAUUUCUAAGAAAACAGGUAUAAAGGUAGCGAAGCAAGGACCGUUGAUUGAAAUUUAAAUGUUGUUAUUGUCAAGGUAAGGGAAAGGUCGCUCCAUUUUUUUAUUUUAUAUAUGUAUUUACUUGUUGUUAAAAUGAUGACGUUUUUGUCAUGUUUAUGUAUUGUAACAUGCUUACUUACUACGUGAACUUGCUUUUGGAUUGCUUGGUUGUGAGUAUAAUUUUUUAUUUUCAUGCCUGGAUUGUAGUCUCACAUGCGUUCAAAGUUAAGAUCAGCUAGGGUGUGUUUUGGGUAGUGAAAGGCCAGUGACUAUGUUCUUAGGAAUUUUGUAUUUUGAAGUAAAACGAUUCUAAUUUACUAUUUUGAAAAUUCAAAGAGAAACUCAUUUAUUUUUAUUUUGAA